rnacentral:rRNA from 1 species
GACGAACGCUGGCGGCGUGCUUAACACAUGCAAGUCGAACGGAAAGGCCCUGCUUUUGUGGGGUGCUCGAGUGGCGAACGGGUGAGUAACACGUGAGUAACCUGCCCUUGACUUUGGGAUAACUUCAGGAAACUGGGGCUAAUACCGGAUAGGAGCUCCUGCUGCAUGUUGGGGGUUGGAAAGUUUCGGCGGUUGGGGAUGGACUCGCGGCUUAUCAGCUUGUUGGUGGGGUAGUGGCUUACCAAGGCUUUGACGGGUAGCCGGCCUGAGAGGGUGACCGGCCACAUUGGGACUGAGAUACGGCCCAGACUCCUACGGGAGGCAGCAGUGGGGAAUAUUGCACAAUGGGCGGAAGCCUGAGGAAGCAACGCCGCGUGCGGGAUAACGGCCUUCGGGUUGUAAACCGCUUUCGCCUGUGACGAAGCGUGAGUGACGGUAAUGGGUAAAGAAGCACCGGCUAACUACGUG